GGGGUUAUUAUUGGUCACUCCAUGAGUUUAGUGUGAUUCACCCCUGUACUACUCAAACUCAAGCAAAGCUUGUGUUUUAUUUUUCUUUCAGAGGGUUUUGGUUUGCUAGUUUUCUGGUUUACAGUGGUUUAGGGUGCGUUGGUGAUUAAGUAGGCUAAUCUUUCUUCUGAAUUCCUUUGUCAUUUGUGAUUAGGAAAUUCCUGGGGUUCUGCACUUGUAAGCACAUUGUGUAAUCGGGCGUCCAUUUGUGUGUGCACAUAGAUUAAAUAUAAAGCAUAUCAAAGUAAGUUACCCUCGUAUUCGUUCUCCAUUUCAUGCUAAUGAGGUGGUUGGACAGUUUCUACGAUAAUUAAUAUGCCUCAAUGUCAACAAGUUGGGGGUAGUUUUAUGAUUCUUCAUGGUCCAUAUUAUGCAAAAUAAAAUGGUUAAAGGAUUUCUUAGUGGAAAAAAAAUGUGAUGAUGUUACACCAACUGCUUGGCUCUAUUUUAUUCAAGUGUUUUGGAGAAAUAUGUCAGGAUAUGUAGAAGGGAGUACUAUAUGGAGAUUGACUGCCAGCGUAAAUUCCCAACUGGAUGUAAUUGCUAAGAAGAGAUGCAUAGCUCCCUUCCUCAUGCUGAUUAUAUUGACUAAAGGGAGAGGAAUGGAGGACAUACAGGAUUUAACAGGAAGAAUUUUUAGUCUUGUGCCUAGAUAAGGUACCUUAAUUAUCAUGGCUGAAAUCGGAAUUAAGAAAAAAUACAUGUCUGAAUAAGGUGCUUUAAUUUCUAUUAGGUCUCUGUUUGCAUAUUGAUAGGUGAAUAGCCAAUACACGGUGAGGCAUCAUAAAGUAAUUCACUUUAACGAUGUUAAUAUGUAAUGCUUCUGGUACCCUAGAUUGUGCAGGCUAUGUCUCUCCUUAAAACUUAUUUUUGAAAUAAUAUUGCAUUAUUAGUUAAAUGCUUAUGAAGCUCUCUUUCGCUUUGCUGCAACUGAUAACAUUUUCAUGUUAGUUAGAAUUAUCCAACUUGCAAACCACUAAGAUAUUAGCUGUAGUUAAUCAUUAUCACUAAAUUUAAGGCUCUUGGAAUUGGAACAUUAAAGUAUGAAGCUUUGCAGCAAGAUCACAGGAUAAGAUGCACCUGUAAAGGUGGAAAAAAGAAAAGAUCACUAGAUUAACAUAUGAAUUUUGUUAUUGGUAAUCUGAUACACUGAUAGGAUCAUCUGUGUUUCUUUAGGAUAAAAACUAGAUGAAGUUAGCGUCUGAUUGAUCCUUUGUGAUGGUAAUAUACUUUUCAAAAUGUCUGUUAACGAUGUCACAUCUUCUAUUUGGGCUUAAAAGUUACUAGUAUGCGUUAUUGCUGCGGUCUGUUUGUCUUUGGUUUUUCUCUGUACUCCAUGUAUUCUUUUUUCUCUGUCUUUAUCAUGUUUAUUGUUAAUUUCUAUGUACUUCAUUCAGCCAUAGAGAAAAACAGAUGUACUUUGCUGGUAUUCUUAUGUGAUAUAUCAUCAGCUUGUGACAUAAAUUGGGAAUAACAGUUUGGCGCCUCAAUAAAGAGAAGAAUUCAUUUUCCAUUUAUGCGCUCCGAUGGACUAUUGGAAAUCACAUGCUACUGGUGAUUUGGCCAAACAUCUUUAGUGCAAGGGAUCUGCUUCACUAGUGGUCCAAUUGCAUGUGUGGAUGGUAGACCUAACCCAUCUAUUUGUUACUCACCUGAAGCUAGAUGGUUAAGGUUUGGUUAUUUUUAGAAUUUUUUCUAUUCACUUGGAUUGCCUUGUUUGACUCUCAUCUCAUGGAGCUUUGUUUAGCUUGAAGCUGUAAUGUUUUACCUCUCUCCAGUAAUUGUUUACUUGAAGGAAUUACUUUGA